rnacentral:pre_miRNA from 1 species
GGGGGGAGGCCGGAUCCUGGGCUGUGUCCCAGCGCUCUGUGCUCCGGGGCCUGCCCUGUUGGAUUCGGGCUCCCGGCUGUGCAGCCCCCU